rnacentral:lncRNA from 1 species
GGGGGGGGGGGGGGGGGGGGGGGGGGGGGGGGGGGGGGGGGGGGGGGGGAGAUCGGCGAUCUCGCAUCGUCGACGUGGCGCGGAGCCGGAGCGCGCUGAGGAGAACCGCGCACGUGGUGACUUGGGCGGGACCUGGAGUACUGCGCCGCCAUUUCUUGCCGCGCGGGACGUUCGAGCGGGAGUUCGAACCCGUGGAAACCCGCUGGUUUUUACGGGCGACCUUCGUGCUUUUGGGACACGGUCCUCUCGUCCAUGAGCCAUCACCAGGCACAGCCCCCGCUUCAUUCUGAAGCUGUUCCAAAUGAUCCUCUGCCAAUGCCUGAAAUGAAAGGCAAAGCUGAGAGCAGCAUGCAUGAAACAUCGAAGGGCAGAGGAAACUCUUUGUUCAGAAGCGUUAUCAGUAGCUUCAGACAGAGCAACAGGAGGAGCAGUCUUCCCAGCAUAUUCAGAAGACUCCAGUUAGCAAGAACCCGUUCAAGCACUUCAGCAGUAGAAAUGGCAGAUGGAGGUGCCACCCAGAUGCUCUGAGGAUUUGAUCAGGAUUCUGCUGCUAUAUGUGAGACCAUGAGAUGAGCCAUUGGAGACAUAAAUUGAACCCUCCGCAUGCAGUUUGUUUAAGGAAAGAUUACAUUGUGUCGCCAAAUCUCCAGUGUUCGGUUCCCAUCUCUCAACAAAGCUGCGAGACUAAUCCUUUCCAUGUAACAGCAUGGAGGUUGGG